AGAGUUUGAUCAUGGCUCAGGAUGAACGCUAGCUACAGGCUUAACACAUGCAAGUCGAGGGGCAGCAUGGUCUUAGCUUGCUAAGGCCGAUGGCGACCGGCGCACGGGUGAGUAACACGUAUCCAACCUGCCGUCUACUCUUGGACAGCCUUCUGAAAGGAAGAUUAAUACAAGAUGGCAUCAUGAGUCCGCAUGUUCACAUGAUUAAAGGUAUUCCGGUAGACGAUGGGGAUGCGUUCCAUUAGAUAGUAGGCGGGGUAACGGCCCACCUAGUCUUCGAUGGAUAGGGGUUCUGAGAGGAAGGUCCCCCACAUUGGAACUGAGACACGGUCCAAACUCCUACGGGAGGCAGCAGUGAGGAAUAUUGGUCAAUGGGCGAGAGCCUGAACCAGCCAAGUAGCGUGAAGGAUGACUGCCCUAUGGGUUGUAAACUUCUUUUAUAAAGGAAUAAAGUCGGGUAUGCAUACCCGUUUGCAUGUACUUUAUGAAUAAGGAUCGGCUAACUCCGUGCCAGCAGCCGCGGUAAUACGGAGGAUCCGAGCGUUAUCCGGAUUUAUUGGGUUUAAAGGGAGCGUAGAUGGAUGUUUAAGUCAGUUGUGAAAGUUUGCGGCUCAACCGUAAAAUUGCAGUUGAUACUGGAUAUCUUGAGUGCAGUUGAGGCAGGCGGAAUUCGUGGUGUAGCGGUGAAAUGCUUAGAUAUCACGAAGAACUCCGAUUGCGAAGGCAGCCUGCUAAGCUGCAACUGACAUUGAGGCUCGAAAGUGUGGGUAGCAAACGGGAUUAGAUACCCUGGUAGUCCACACCGUAAACGAUGAUUACUAGGUGUUGGAGGAUUGACCCCUUCAGUGCCGCAGUUAACACAAUAAGUAAUCCACCUGGGGAGUACGACCGCAAGGUUGAAACUCAAAGGAAUUGACGGGGGCCCGCACAAGCAGUGGAGUAUGUGGUUUAAUUCGACGCAACGCGAAGAACCUUACCAAGUCUUGACAUCCUGCGACGUGCAUAGAAAUAUGUAUUUCCUUCGGGACGCAGAGACAGGUGGUGCAUGGUUGUCGUCAGCUCGUGUCGUGAGAUGUUGGGUUAAGUCCCGCAACGAGCGCAACCCUUACUGUCAGUUACUACGCAAGAGGACUCUGGCAGGACUGCCGUUGACAAAACGGAGGAAGGUGGGGAUGACGUCAAAUCAUCAUGCCCUUUAUGACUUGGGCUACACACGUACUACAAUGGUGUUAAACAAAGAGAAGCAAGACCGCGAGGUGGAGCAAAACUCAGAAACAACGUCCCAGUUCGGACUGCAGGCUGCAACUCGCCUGCACGAAGUCGGAAUUGCUAGUAAUCGUGGAUCAGCAUGCCACGGUGAAUACGUUCCCGGGCCUUGCACACACCGCCCGU
rnacentral:rRNA from 1 species